AUUUCUAUGGUUUUUGGGCCCCAAUGGAUGAUGAGCUCCCCCCCCCCAGUAGAAAGAAAAAAAUUUAAUGCUCUGGUAAGCAUUCCUGACUGCGCCCCUGGUAUAUGUAUUUUAUACAUGUAAAUGUAUAUAAGAAUAUGAUUAACUCAGUGAUUUAGUGAUAUCGUGAAUUUUCGCUCCAAACCAGACUUCUUUCUGACUACGCGCGUUUAGGGCUUUUUAAAUGCGCAGAUGAGUUUUUGGGCGCGGACUCAUCCUUGCAUACGCACAGGGAACGAUAUCGACAAAAGUUGAGAUUCUGAACAAGAAUGGGUGCUUGCAGCGGAAAAAUUAUUAAAUCCCAGAGUUCAUUAGAUGUUCUUGAAUCAACUGCGUGGAUCAGGGAUGAAAAAUAAUAAAUACAAA